CGUCUGAGCGGCUCCAUCCUAGGAUUCACAAUCUGAAGCUUUGCAAAGGAAUGCUUGUCUUAACUUCCCUACUGGUUAGCACUCACCAGCAGACUAACGUUGCCUUGACGGAAAGUAUGAAAGAUCAUUUAGAAAGGGGAAAGGUUGAACUCCUCCAGCUUACUGUCAUUGAAGAGAUCCUCAGAUUUCACCUUGGAGUUCCAGAGUAAACUAUAUUGCACACAAUAGGGAGACAAGGGGAGAGAGUGAAAGAGAGAAAUCAGCAGAGAGAAGCUGAAGAAAAGCCAACCAUACUAAAGCAAUAAAUAAAAUGACAUUCUGCUCUCUCUUGAGUUAUCUGAUGAAAUAUUCUGGUGUUUCAGUGCUUGAUCGUGAAGGCAAAAAGCUUACGUUCCUGGGAUUGAAGAUGUCUGCUGGAUAGUAAAUAAAUUUCAGUGACCACAAGUUAAAGGAAGAAAAUAAUGCCUCAAGAAUUUAUUGAAAGGAAAUUGCGACAAGUAUUGUAAUCCUUAAAGGAUGGGAUAAUUAAUCAUUCAUCUAUCUCUUGGGACAGAGACAAAACAAAGGGAUCAUGUGUCCUGCCUUCUUUUUCUUCUUUCACACAGAGAGAGAGAGAGAGAGGCAGAGACACAGGCAGAGGGAGAAGCAGGCUCC